UAAAUGGGCUUAGGAAUUAUUUGUGAUGCCCAGCAUUUUGGGGGUAGAGGCCCAUUUCUUCUUCAUUGCCCAACUCCAAGUCUCAAACCUUCACUCUCGUCCAACAGUCUCUACUUGUUCCACACUGUACUAUGUUCUUGCCCUCCAAACCCACCAAACACCCGACCCAGAGUUCGGAUCUCGCAGCUUAACCACUGCGGCUCUCAGGCGAGCUCCAAUGUCCGCUGACCUCGCGUGCACCCUUCUCUCAAGGUACACUAUCACACUUUCAACUCCUCCCGAAUCUUAAUUACAAGCUCUCAAAGCUUCGAUUAUUUUACUCAGUUUUUGCCAUUUGCUAAUAACCCCACUUCCAAAUCCUUGUGCUCUGUAAACUCCAAUGAAAGGCGUAAAGUCACGGUUGGAUUGUCACGGAUAAUAAAGAACCAACCGGGUUAUGCUUUGAAGGGUUUUUCCAGAGGGUUGCCCAUUUUUUCUUGUAAAAGUUAUGAAACUGUUGGGUUGUAGAGAAACUGCAUUUGGGUUUUUCAAAUUAGUCUUCAGGGAUGAUAGUGAGGGAAUUGUGAGGAGGAGUUGUUGUAUUGCUGCACAUUUUUUUGGCAGGUUAUAAUCUGCGGUUUCUAGCUCAGGAUGUGGUUUCGUGUGUGAUUGCGCGAAUUGGGCCAAGUAGGAGUAUAGAUUUGGUGGGAUUUAUGUGGCGAGGUCAUUGUGAAUAUGAGUCAGACUUUUCAGUUCUUGAUACUCUUAUGAGAGGUUUCUUGAAUGCCGAAAUGGGUGCGGAGGCAUUGGAGGUUGUGAGUAGGAUGAGGGAGGUGGGCUUGAACCCGAGCUUGUCAGCAAUUGCGAUUCUUUUGAGGUUGUUGAUUAGAAUUGGUGAUUAUGGUAGCGUGUGGAAGGUGUUUAGGGAUAAGCUUCGGAAGGGGCCUUAGUGCCUCACCCAUGUAAUUGUACUUUUAAUGUGAUGAUUCUUGGGUUUUGUAGAAAAGGGUUGAUUACGAUGGGAGAGAGCUUGUUGCAUGUGAUGUGGAAAUUUCAGUGUGAUCCGGAUGGUAUUAUGUAUAACAUUCUGAUCAAUGCAAACUGUGAGAGGGGGCAGGCAGACGAUGCACUUCAUUGGGUGCAUUUGAUGAUUGCAAGGGCUUGUAAGCCGAGCACCGUUACAUUUAGCACUGUCAUAAAUGCGUUGUGUAAGGAGGGGAAUAUGGUGGAAGCUAGGAAGAUUUUUUAUGGGAUCCCAGAUAUGGGUAUUUCUCCAAGUACUACUAUAUACAAUACCAUGAUGGACGGGUACGUUAAGGCAAGGGACAUUGGCCAGGCCAACAUGAUCUAUGAAGAAAUGAGAAACAAAGGCAUAUCUCCUGAUGGCAUAACUUUUAAUAUCUUGAUUGCAGGGCAUUACAAGUAUGGAAGGGAAGAGGAUGGAGACCGUUUGUUAAAGGAUAUAUCUGUGUCAGGGUUGCUUCCAGAUCCUUCAUUGUAUGACAUCAUGGUUUCUGGGUUAUGUUGGGCAGGUCGGUUGGACGAUGCCAUUGAAUUUUUAGAGGAUACGCUAGGAAAAGGAUUAGCUCUGAGUGUGGUCGCUUUCAACUCAAUUAUUGCAGCUUGUAGCAGAGUAGGGUUAGAGCAGAAGGCCCUUAAGGCCUAUAAGUUUAUGAUUACAUUUGGUAUAACUCCUUCAUCUUCUACAUGUAGUUCUUUGCUUAUGGGUUUAUCCAAGAAGGGGAACCUGCAAGAAGCCAGAGAGUUUUUGUGUAAGAUGAUAGAGAAGGGGUUCCCUAUCAAAAAAGCUGUUUUCACGGUGCUUUUGGAUGGGUACUUUUGAAUUGCCGAUUUAGACGGGGCUCAAAAUUUAUGGAAUGAGAUGGUAAGAAGAGGGAUAUGGCCUGAUGUUGUUGCGUUCUCAGCAUUUAUCAAUGGACUAUGUAAAGCGGGUCUAGUGGAGGAAGCAUAUGAUAUAUUUCUGGAUAUGUCAAUGAGAGGUUUUGUGCCCAACAAUUUUGUGUAUAAUUCUUUGAUUGGCGGGUUUUGCAACCGCGGGAAGUUGAGUUAUGCACUGAAGUUAGAGAGAGAUAUGAGGCAAAAGGGUCUUCUUCCAGAUAUCUUUACCACCAAUAUGAUCAUUAAUGGGUUCUGUAAACAGGGAAGAAUGAAGUCUGCAAUUGAUACAUUUAUGGACAUGUACCCAACUGGGUUAACCCCAGAUAUUGUCACUUACAAUACCUUAAUUGGUGGUUAUUGUAAAGCAUUUGACAUGGUUGGAGCAGAUGAGUUUUUGUAUAAAAUGUAUGCCAGUGGAUGUGAACUCUCACAACCUAUAAUAUUUGCAUUCAAGGUUUUUGUAGUAGUCGAAAUAUAAAUCGAGCUGUGAUGAUUCUGGAUGAGCUUGUUUCAAGAGGUGUUGUUCCAGACUCAGUUACAUACAACACGAUGAUGAAUGGUGCUUGUGUUGACAUAUUGGACCGUGCUAUGAUUUUAAUGGCUAAAUUGCUCAAGUUGGCGUUUCUUCCAAAUACUGUUACAAUUAAUGUGUUAUUGUCCCAGUUCUGCAAGCAGGGGAAGCCUGAGAAGGCCCUCAUGUGGGGUCAGAAGUUGAGUGAGUUUUCCACUUGCUUUGACAAAAUUACGUAUAAAUUAUUGGACAGAGCUUAUCAUAAUCUGCAAGAAGAUUCUGAAAUUUCCAGUGGAACAGCUGAAAACAGCCUCUUCCUGGAUUUCCUCAUGUACAUUACAUAUGAUUAUUUAUGUAGAAAUAAACCUUGCAGGGAUGCAAGUCAAAAUCCUCUUAAGUUAAUUGAUUUUAAAGGCUCCUGAAAGUUGAUUUAGUUCAUCAGUUUUCACCACAAUGAUUAUGAUCUGGGACAUUCUGAUGUUAUCAUGAUUGUACCCUUCCGGUCUCAUGUUUUAUGCCACUUGUGGCAACAAGAUUGAAGUAGCAACAAUCAGAAAGAAGCAAAAAGCAGCUGGCAUGAUGGUUUCAAGGGAGACUGAUCACUCAAAGGGAAGAGAUAGGCGAGCAAAUGAAAACAGUCAAGACAAAGGAGAUGGAAGGGAAAGUGGGCUGAGGUUAUGAGAAAAUAGUCAUGCCUGCCAGUUAUGCCGUCAACUGCAAAUGUUGGAUAAAUGCCGUGCAUGAAUUUAUGAAAAGGGGUCAUAAUGUGCUGGGCACAUUAGGUCAGCUGAACAAGUGUAUAGGUUGAAAACCCAAAAUAGAUGGCAAAGCAAAAUGAAAGCUCCAACCGGUGGACCCAGGAUUGUAUUCAUGCACGGACUCAUAAAAAAAUUUUAUUUUGAGGGAAAUCAUGGUUUCUUGGCUGACAAGGGCCCUUUUUGUGCACCCUCUAGGACCUAUGUAGGAUGCCCAGCGAACCACACUCCAAGUGAAUUUGCUAUGCGGAUUCGAGAGUAAGCACUGAAGAACAAGGUCAAUGUCUAGUAGGUUUCCAUUUGCAGCUCGAAGGGCUGCAUAGUCUCCGAAAAUGUACAUGAGCCAACUCUUUUGUCAAGGCCUUGCAUCAUUGAGUGAGUGUUGCUGAGAGGGAGCAACAGAAGGUUUUGGCUCUGGUUGCUGCAGUUUUUCGUAUGAUCCAUUGGGUUUCCUUUUAGGAAUUCUUGUAAUCUCUAUGGGAAUGAGUUAUGGGCGAUUCUUGUCGAAGAUUUAACUUCCGUGACGUUAUUAAUGAUUUCACAAGAUUGUACGGUGACAAUGCUACCA